rnacentral:lncRNA from 1 species
UUCUUAUGCCUGUCUUUACUGCAAUCUUGGAACAUAAAUUCUUUCUGGAACAAUGUCAAAAGUCAUUCAUUUGGGGGGAACUCAUUCUCUACAAGCAAACUACAAAGCCUUUGCGUGAAGACAGAGGAUAUCUGGAAUUUGAUUGUAUUUCUCACACUGUCUAGUGCUAAUUACAACACACAGAUAUUCAAUCAAAACAUAUUUGCCACUGAAAAUAUCCUCUGGUCAUUUAUUUGGCUCAACGGACCUAUAUGGCCAUUCCCUCUUCCACAGUUGUAAAGACUUUGCCUAAUUUCUGGCAACUAUAGAAGUAGUGGAAUGAACCAGAAUAUGAAGGAUGAAAAGCAUCAGGGAGAAACACUUCUUCAAAUCUCUACUUGAAGAAGACUAAGUGUUCUUGUUUUUCUUUAAUAGAAAUACAUCCAGGAAAAAAAAAAAAAGAGAAAGUGAAGUAUGUUUUAACUAAACAAGGAAAUAUUAAAGAUCGCAUAGGAUAUAGGAAACAUUUUUCAUCCAGCGUCUGACUACAAUCAUGGUUAUGCCUUAAGAAAUUAACUUAGCAAUAGAGGAGAAGACAAGUUAUAUGUAGAAGAAGAUUAACAACAGGUUGAUACAAUCACCCAAACAAGAGCCAUGAUAAGAUGUGUUUGCUUUCUCUUCACCUUCCACCAUGAUUGUAAGUUUCCUGAGGCCUCCCAGCCAUGCUUCCUGUACAGCCUGAGAAACUAUUAAUACAGCAAAUCUCAGAGAAAUAUCUUGUCCACUGUCAAACAGUUGAUAAGAAGCCAAACCUGACUUUGAGCCCAGAACUUGGAUCAUUCUCAGUGCUGUUUGGAGAAGAGUCUUUAGAAGUGCAAUGGUGGAGAAUGGAGAUCACUUAAGAUACUACUGAAAUUCUCCAAGCUGCUAGAAGUAAAGGUGCAUUGUUUACAGUAGCCAAGAUAUGGA